GUAGGUGAACCUGCGGAAGGAUCAUUACCGAGUGCGGGUCCUUUGGGCCCAACCUCCCAUCCGUGUCUAUUGUACCCUGUUGCUUCGGCGGGCCCGCCGCUUGUCGGCCGCCGGGGGGGCGCCUCUGCCCCCCGGGCCCGUGCCCGCCGGAGACCCCAACACGAACACUGUCUGAAAGCGUGCAGUCUGAGUUGAUUGAAUGCAAUCAGUUAAAACUUUCAACAAUGGAUCUCUUGGUUCCGGCAUCGAUGAAGAACGCAGCGAAAUGCGAUAACUAAUGUGAAUUGCAGAAUUCAGUGAAUCAUCGAGUCUUUGAACGCACAUUGCGCCCCCUGGUAUUCCGGGGGGCAUGCCUGUCCGAGCGUCAUUGCUGCCCUCAAGCCCGGCUUGUGUGUUGGGUCGCCGUCCCCCUCUCCGGGGGGACGGGCCCGAAAGGCAGCGGCGGCACCGCGUCCGAUCCUCGAGCGUAUGGGGCUUUGUCACAUGCUCUGUAGGAUUGGCCGGCGCCUGCCGACGUUUUCCAACCAUUCUUUCCAGGUUGACCUCGGAUCAGGUAGGGAUACCCGCUGAACUUAAGCAUAU
rnacentral:rRNA from 1 species